rnacentral:rRNA from 1 species
UACGAAGGGGGCUAGCGUUGCUCGGAAUCACUGGGCGUAAAGCGCACGUAGGCGGACUUUUAAGUCAGGGGUGAAUUCCUGGAGCUCAACUCCAGAACUGCCUUUGAUACUGGAAGUCUUGAGUUCGAGAGAGGUGAGUGGAACUGCGAGUGUAGAGGUGAAAUUCGUAGAUAUUCGCAAGAACACCAGUGGCGAAGGCGGCUCACUGGCUCGAUACUGACGCUGAGGCGCGAAGGCGUGGGGAGCGAACGGG